rnacentral:rRNA from 1 species
AGUGAACGCUGGCGGUAGGCCUAACACAUGCAAGUCGAACGGCAGCACAGUAAGAGCUUGCUCUUACGGGUGGCGAGUGGCGGACGGGUGAGGAAUACAUCGGAAUCUACUUUUUCGUGGGGGAUAACGUAGGGAAACUUACGCUAAUACCGCAUACGACCUACGGGUGAAAGCAGGGGAUCUUCGGACCUUGCGCGAUUGAAUGAGCCGAUGUCGGAUUAGCUAGUUGGCGGGGUAAAGGCCCACCAAGGCGACGAUCCGUAGCUGGUCUGAGAGGAUGAUCAGCCACACUGGAACUGAGACACGGUCCAGACUCCUACGGGAGGCAGCAGUGGGGAAUAGUGGACAAUGGGCGCAAGCCUGAUCCAGCCAUACCGCGUGGGUGAAGAAGGCCUUCGGGUUGUAAAGCCCUUUUGUUAGGAAAGAAAAGCAGCAGGUUAAUACCCCGCUGUUCUGACGGUACCCAAAGAAUAAGCACCGGCUAACUUCGUG